rnacentral:misc_RNA from 1 species
GCCUAAAUCUGCUGCUGUGAAGCCGAAGGCCAAGUCUGUUGCUGCUGCAAAGCCCAAAGCAAAGGCUGCUGCUCCCAAACUGAAAGCUAAAUCUGUUGCUGCAAAGCCAAAAGCUAAGGCUGCAGCGCUGAAGCCAAAGACUGCCGGUCGCCCUGCUAAGGCAGCUAAGACCUCGGCUAAAGCAGCUCCUGGGAAGAAGCCUGCACCGGUUGCUGCAAAGAAGCCGAAGUCAGUGAAAAAAGCUCCAGCGGCUAAGAAGGCUCCGUUGGCCAAAAAAGCUACGGU